GGACCCUUCUCACCAAAUCCCACAAGUUUUUCCACUCAGGUUUAUUUCCCAUAUGUUUGUACAUCAGGCUAUCCAGUCUGGACUGAGGAUCAUCGGUCACAAACUCCUCAUCUGCUCUGCAGUGCUGUGUUAAGAAAUUCAGUCUGAGAUGACAGCGAGAAGUUGUGAAAAGUGCUGUGUUAAGAAAUUCAGUCCUUCCUAAUUCCACUGAGGCUGAGAUGACAGCGAAGUUGUGGCUGCAGGACAUCAUGGAUGAGCUGCGCAAGUAUCGUAAAAG